UUUGGUUUUUGAAGUUUUCAAAAUUUUGCAAAACAAUGUCGUGUGCGCCCUUUGCGCCCUGCGCCCCCUACAUGGCGCGCCCCUGCUAUCAGAUCCCCUACUUGUACCCCGCCCCUGUUGGGGCGCUGCGCUACUGCCUGCGCCCCUGCUGCCCCCCCUGUGGGCGCAUCGAAGCCCCCCUGCCCAACUACAACCCACCCAAGUGCGAUUGGAGCUGCGAGUGCGCCCCUGACUGCUGAUCGGGUCUGGAAAUGUGACGUUCUGUGGAGAUUUUUAGUAAAUUUUUGAGAAAUU
rnacentral:lncRNA from 1 species